AUUGAACGCUGGCGUCAGGCCUAACACAUGCAAGUCGAACGAGUGGCGGACGGGUGAGUAAUGUCUGGGAAACUGCCUAUGGAGGGGGCUAAAUACUGGAAACGGUAGAUAAUACCGACUACCAUCGUAUGUGCCCCGAAGGGAUUAGCGAGUAGGUGGGGUACAGGCCCACCUAGGCGACGAUCCCUAGCUGGUCUGAGAGGAAGACCAGCCACACUGGAACUGAGACACGGUCCAGCCUCCUACGUGAGGCAGCAGUGGGGAAUAUUGCACAAUGGGCGCAAGCCUGAUGCAGCCAUGCCGCGUGUAUGAAGAAGGCCUUCGGGUUGUAAAGUACUUUCAGCGGGGAGGCGUUACCCGCAGAAGAAGCACCGGCUAACUCCGUGCCAGCAGCCGCGGUAAUUC
rnacentral:rRNA from 1 species